UACGAAGGGGGCUAGCGUUGCUCGGAAUGACUGGGCGUAAAGGGCGCGUAGGCGGCUCAUACAGUCAGAUGUGAAAUUCCUGGGCUUAACCUGGGGGCUGCAUUUGAUACGUGUGGGCUUGAGUGGGGAAGAGGGUCGUGGAAUUCCCAGUGUAGAGGUGAAAUUCGUAGAUAUUGGGAAGAACACCGGUGGCGAAGGCGGCGACCUGGGUCGACACUGACGCUGAGGCGCGAAAGCGUGGGGAGCAAACAGG
rnacentral:rRNA from 1 species